CUAAUCCUUAACCAUGGAAAUGAAUACACAGUACAUAAAAGUAAUGUUGUUGCAUUUCUUCAUUUAAUAAACCCCAUGUUCUACAUUCAUUUAAAAGAUAAUAGCUACCUUUAUGGAUCUCUGUAUAUUAGAUAUCAAAAUAUUUCUAGUUUAUUUUAUUUUUUUUAAGCAAAGGAUGUGUCAUUCCAGCAGUAAUUUACAUUCAUUACACUAAUGUGUUUAUUAAGCUGUGCUGGCAAUACUGGAGUGGGAGGAGCUUUAACAAAUAAAAAAUAAUUAAAAAAAACCCACAUGCUCUUUAUUCUUGUUUAUGAACACAGACAGCCUUAGUCCUUUGUAUAAUAUAUAUGUAGAUAUAUAUUACAUUCCUAGGCAGAACAGCUUCUAAUAGAACCACAUUCCUGCCUUCUUGUCUGCUUUCAUUUUCUUCAGUGAUUUGUGGAAGCUCAGCUCUCCAAAAAUAAAGAUACAACUUUCCGGACAGCGGUGAGUAUCUGGCAGAGGUAGUUUUUCUCAUUAAAAUUGCAGUGAGGUUGGAGAAAUUCGAACCACACCUCUCAGAAAAACUCUUUGUGCCAUUUUACACCAGCGCACCUGCCAGUAAUUUCGCAUGCCUUCCAGGGCCGCAGCUUUCAUCAAGGUGUUAUCCCAUACCAUUUUAUGACCCUGUAUUUCCUUUUUAUCUUCUUCCUGGCUUUUCCCCACCUUUGUCCACUACAUUUGGAUAGCGUUUGUGUGACUUUGUAGGCACACCAGCCCACUUGCAUGGGCUGCACUGCUGCACUGUUACACGGACAGAGCAAAGCAGCUUCUCACACCCUUACAAAAUCGGGAAGACUUACUUAUAGGAUUCACAUCUUGCCCCGAAGGCACUAUCCACUUGGAGCAGGUUAGCUUGCACCGCACAGCAGGUAUGGGCUUUGCUCUAUACACCUCCCAUUCAGGGUAGCGCUCAAUGGUAUAUAGCCUCACUGUAAAAACUGCACAGCAAAUUCAAGCCAUAAUAGUUAUUUUUCUACCUCUACUUUGUAUUCUGAAGGGUAUUCAGAGCCUAUGGUUAUCGACAACAAAGCCAGAGUCUCAUCAGACACAAGGGCUUCUACAAACAGCCCCCAGCAACACAAUGGGGAGAUCCCAAGUGGGAGUAAAGUGAAGUAACUGUGUUACAUUGUGUGAAGAUUCUCUGACUUCUGCCAUACAGAGGUUUAUCCCUCUCUCCUCUUGCAUGUACUUUUCUGUUUCUAGCUACGGUGACACAGCUCCGAAGUUUGCCAGUUUUCUUCAAUCUUUUCUUUGCAGACAGUGCUAGCAUGAUAUUUUGUCUGCCUCCCUCAGCAGAGAACUUUAAGGCUAAAGCCUCCAUUAUUUGCAUGGUAGUAUUGCUCUUGCUCUGUCUGAAGUUUCUCUACCACAGAAUGGCAGCAGGAUUGUAAAGAGUGUUUUAAAAGAGUAGAAAGAUUCUCACUUAUGAUUAUGUUUGAGUCUAGUCUUUGUAACAGAAUAAGGCCAAGAUAAUGCACUCUAUAGUGAUCUGUGGAUCAGCUAGAUUUACUGAGACAUAUUUCAUUGAUUUCUGACUAUGAGUUGCAAUUGAUCCUGCUACUCAUCACUACCACUGCAAAGCUCACCAGUACCACUAAUCCUCUUAAACAGCAGUCAAGGAUACAGAUAAAAGCCGAUGAUUCACCUUGGUUCAAAUAACAGAGCACUUAAAAGGAAAAUAAAAAGUUCAUUUCUUGGAUGUAAAAAAUAUAAUCUGCAUGCUGACUGCAUGUUGUGACACAGUGAAGAGUAUUUCAAGGCAAUUAGUUAAGACAAUAAAAGAUUGAGAGCUCAAAAAGCAA
ensembl:lncRNA